rnacentral:rRNA from 1 species
UACGUAGGUGGCAAGCGUUGUCCGGAAUUAUUGGGCGUAAAGCGCGCGCAGGCGGCCUCUUAAGUCUGAUGUGAAAGCCCCCGGCUCAACCGGGGAGGGCCAUUGGAAACUGGGAGGCUUGAGUAUAGGAGAGAAGAGUGGAAUUCCACGUGUAGCGGUGAAAUGCGUAGAGAUGUGGAGGAACACCAGUGGCGAAGGCGACUCUUUGGCCUAUAACUGACGCUGAGGCGCGAAAGCGUGGGGAGCAACAGGAUAGA